rnacentral:lncRNA from 1 species
GGGGGGCAAGGGGGGUCCCAAUAACAGCAUAACAGCAAAUUGAUUUGGCUUAUAGCAGAUAACAAGGAAUUAAAAUGGACAAAAACAGAUAACAGUAAAUUAAAUAUUAAAAUUAGUCGGGUCCUUGACAAAUCCAGUAUUUCUUAUUACGGGUAUAAUCCUUUGAAAUGAAUUCCAUUUUCUAUUAACAUGGUUUUUAGAGUUUUAGAGAAAUAUUUGGUAUAUUCUUGUCCGUCCGUUGUCAACAUGUCGGACAUAAACUCAAACAUUCUUUUACCAAUUUACAUAAGACUUUUUUGGAAAUUGUUUAAAUCUAUUGACGCAAGCUCCCUUAUCGUUUUUUUUUUUUUAUAAAUUUUAGAUUUUAAGUUUCUGAGUAAUGGGGUUUUAUUCAAUAAAAAUGGUGUUUUUUUUUCUUCAGUUUUCUGAUAAUAUCUCAAAAAUCCUUUCACAAAUUUGCAAGGAAUUUUGGUGAAUUGUUUAUAUCUAUUGACAUUAGCUCCCUUUCAUUUUUGAUAAAUUUUAGAUUUUACGUUAUCGAGUUAAAGGGUUUUAUUAAUUAAAAAGGGGGGGGAUUUUCUAGUUUUCAGACAUAAACACAAAAACGUUGUCAGCAGGUCUCAUAAAACUUUGCUGAAUUGUUUAUAUCUAUUGUUAUAAGCGCCCUUUCGAUUUUU